GGGCUGGCAAGGAAGUUGUAGAGAUUGGAAGCGGUGAUCAAAAGGAGGAAGGUGAAGCCAUUGAGAGUAGCAGUAGCAGUAGACGAGAAAAAGAAGAGGAAGCACGAGAUAGUCAUAAUGAGUAGAACAGAGAAAUUUAUAAUCAAAUGAUUAUGAUGCCUUCAAUUAUUAAACAGAUUCUUGCAAGAAUGAAAUUUUAUCUUGGAGAUAUGAUAAAUUUAGAUGAAGAUGAUGAUGAGCAGGAAUUGGAGAUUCAACCUCCGAAAAUUAUCCGCUUAAAGUAAAAGAUCCAGGUUGUUUGAAUUUGGCAUGUAUGAUCAAUGAGGUUGAUAUAGG
rnacentral:lncRNA from 1 species